rnacentral:rRNA from 1 species
UACGUAGGAGACGAGCGUUGUCCGGAGUUACUGGGCGUAAAGAGCUCGUAGGCGGUGUGUCACGUCGGCCGUGAAAACCUGCAGCUUAACUGUGGGCGUGCGGUCGAUACGGGCAUCACUGGAGUUCGGCAGGGGAGACUGGAAUUCCUGGUGUAGCGGUGAAAUGCGCAGAUAUCAGGGAGGAACACCGGUGGCGAAGGCGGGUCUCUGGGCCGAUACAUGACGUGGAGGAAGCGGAAAGCGUGGGGAGCAAACAGG